CCAACAUGGUCCUCCAUUGAGGUUACUCAUGGCUCUGUCCAAGUGGCAUAUGGAGGCAUAGCCCUAAGUGCAGUGAUGCACAAUACCCUUCCAUAGUUGGAAGAGCAAACCUAUCUCUGGCUCUACAACUGAUGAAGUCAGAAUCCUGUAUAUUCCUAAAACUUCUCAUAGUCUUUAGGUGAUUACUGAGGCGAAAAACCAUGCAGGAUGUAAUU
rnacentral:snoRNA from 1 species